ACACUGAUGGUGAAACGGUAUCAUGCUUGCCUUCCAUAUGGGUUUCGAAAUGUUUGAGAAAGCAAGCGGCGUGGGUUCGACUCCCGCUCAGUGUA